rnacentral:rRNA from 1 species
UACGUAGGGGGCAAGCGUUAUCCGGAUUUACUGGGUGUAAAGGGAGCGCAGACGGCAGUGCAAGUCUGGAGUGAAAGCCCGGGGCCCAACCCCGGGACUGCUCUGGAAACUGUACGGCUGGAGUACGGGAGGGGCAGGCGGAAUUCCUAGUGUAGCGGUGAAAUGCGUAGAUAUUAGGAGGAACACCGGCGGCGAAGGCGGCCUGCUGGACCGAAACUGACGUUGAGGCUCGAAAGCGUGGGGAGCAAACAGG